UACGUAGGGCGCAAGCGUUAUCCGGAAUUAUUGGGCGUAAAGAGCUCGUAGGCGGUUUGUCGCGUCUGCCGUGAAAGUCCGGGGCUCAACUCCGGAUCUGCGGUGGGUACGGGCAGACUAGAGUGAUGUAGGGGAGACUGGAAUUCUUGGUGUAGCGGUGAAAUGCGUAGAUAUCAAGAGGAACACCUGAGGCGAAGGCGGGUUGCUAGGCUGACACUGACGCUGAGGCGCGAAAGCCAGGGGAGCAAACGGG
rnacentral:rRNA from 1 species